rnacentral:lncRNA from 1 species
AGCCCCUAGCGCAGACGGCGGAGAGCAGAGAGGGAGCGCGCCUUGGCUCGCUGGCCUUGGCGGCGGCUCCUCAGGAGAGCUGGGGCGCCCACGAGAGGAUCCCUCACCCGGGUCUCUCCUCAGGGAUGACAUCAUCCGUCCACCUCCUUGUCUUCAAGGACCACCUCCUCUCCAUGCUGAGCUGCUGCCAAGGGGCCUGCUGCCCAUCUACACCUCACGAGGGCACUAGGAGCACGGUUUCCUGGAUCCCACCAACAUACAAAGCAGCCACUCACUGACCCCCAGGACCAGGAUGGCAAAGGAUGAAGAGGACCGGAACUGACCAGCCAGCUGUCCCUCUUACCUAAAGACUUAAACCAAUGCCCUAGUGAGGGGGCAUUGGGCAUUAAGCCCUGACCUUUGCUAUGCUCAUACUUUGACUCUAUGAGUACUUUCCUAUAAGUCUUUGCUUGUGUUCACCUGCUAGCAAACUGGAGUGUUUCCCUCCCCAAGGGGGUGUCAGUCUUUGUCGACUGACUCUGUCAUCACCCUUAUGAUGUCCUGAAUGGAAGGAUCCCUUUGGGAAAUUCUCAGGAGGGGGACCUGGGCCAAGGGCUUGGCCAGCAUCCUGCUGGCAACUCCAAGGCCCUGGGUGGGCUUCUGGAAUGAGCAUGCUACUGAAUCACCAAAGGCACGCCCGACCUCUCUGAAGAUCUUCCUAUCCUUUUCUGGGGGAAUGGGGUCGAUGAGAGCAACCUCCUAGGGUUGUUGUGAGAAUUAAAUGAGAUAAAAGAGGCCUCAGGCAGGAUCUGGCAUAGAGGAGGUGAUCAGCAAAUGUUUGUUGAAAAGGUUUGACAGGUCAGUCCCUUCCCACCCCUCUUGCUUGUCUUACUUGUCUUAUUUAUUCUCCAACAGCACUCCAGGCAGCCCUUGUCCACGGGCUCUCCUUGCAUCAGCAGGUUCCCAGUGCCCCCGACAAGCCCCUGCUGGUGUCUCCAUCUCCUGCCAAGCAUCCUCCAGUGCCUCCUCCUGUGGGCCUGGCCUCAGGGCUAUGGACAGACUCCUGUCCCAUCCCAGAGACCCCUCGUGAUCGUGCCCUGUAGUCACCCCACUCCACCGAAAAGUAAACUGCAGGCACGUGGGCCGUGGCCCGGCUGGGUCGGCUGAAGAACUGCGGAUGGAAGCUGCGGAAGAGGCCCUGAUGGGGCCCACCAUCCCGGACCCAAGUCUUCUUCCUGGCGGGCCUCUCGUCUCCUUCCUGGUUUGGGCGGAAGCCAUCACCUGGAUGCCUACGUGGGAAGGGACCUCGAAUGUGGGACCCCAGCCCCUCUCCAGCUCGAAAUCCCUCCACAGCCACGGGGACACCCUGCACCUAUUCCCACGGGACAGGCUGGACCCAGAGACUCUGGACCCGGGGCCUCCCCUUGAGUAGAGACCCGCCCUCUGACUGAUGGACGCCGCUGACCUGGGGUCAGACCCGUGGGCUGGACCCCUGCCCACCCCGCAGGAACCCUGAGGCCUAGGGGAGCUGUUGAGCCUUCAGUGUCUGCAUGUGGGAAGUGGGCUCCUUCACCUACCUCACAGGGCUGUUGUGAGGGGCGCUGUGAUGCGGUUCCAAAGCACAGGGCUUGGCGCACCCCACUGUGCUCUCAAUAAAUGUGUUUCCUGUCUUAACAAAAAAAAAAAAAAAAAAAAAAAAAAAAAAAAA